rnacentral:rRNA from 1 species
UACGGAGGGUGCAAGCGUUGUUCGGAAUUAUUGGGCGUAAAGCGCGUGUAGGCGGCUUUGCAAGUCGGGUGUGAAAGCCCUCGGCUCAACCGAGGAAGGGCGCCCGAAACUGCAGAGCUUGAGUGCCGGAGAGGGUGGCGGAAUUCCCCAAGUAGAGGUGAAAUUCGUAGAUAUGGGGAGGAACACCAGUGGCGAAGGCGGCCACCUGGACGGUUACUGACGCUGAGACGCGAAAGCGUGGGGAGCAAACGGG